UACGUAGGGCGCAAGCGUUAUCCGGAAUUAUUGGGCGUAAAGAGCUCGUAGGCGGUUUGUCGCGUCUGCUGUGAAAACUGGAGGCUCAACCUCCAGCCUGCAGUGGGUACGGGCAAACUAGAGUGCGGUAGGGGAGAUUGGAAUUCCUGGUGUAGCGGUGGAAUGCGCAGGAUACUCAGGAGGAACACCGAUGGCGAAGGCAGAUCUCUGGGCCGUAACUGACGCUGAGGAGCGAAAGCAUGGGAGCGAACAGG
rnacentral:rRNA from 1 species